rnacentral:rRNA from 1 species
UACGUAGGAGGCAAGCGUUGUCCGGAAUUACUGGGUGUAAAGCGCGUGUAGGCGGCAGGCCAAGUCUGUGGUGAAAUCGCUCGGCUCAACUGGGCGGGGUCCAUGGAAACUGGUCAGCUGGAGGACGGUAGAGGUGAGUGGAAUUCCCGGUGUAGUGGUGGAAUACGUAGAUAUCCGGAGGAACACCAGCGGCGAAGGCGGCUUUCUGGUCUGAUACUGACGCUGAGGCGCGAAAGCGUGGGGAGCGAUCCGG